GUGACUGCGUACCUUUUGUAUAAUGGGUCAGCGACUUAUAUUCUGUAGCAAGGUUAACCGUAUAGGGGAGCCGGAGGGAAACCGAGUCUUAAUUGGGCGUUAAGUUGCAGGGUAUAGACCCGAAACCCGGUGAUCUAGCCAUGGGCAGGUUGAAGGUUGGGUAACACUAACUGGAGGACCGAACCGACUAAUGUUGAAAAAUUAGCGGAUGACCUGUGGCUGGGGGUGAAAGGCCAAUCAAACCGGGAGAUAGCUGGUUCUCCCCGAAAGCUAUUUAGGUAGCGCCUCGUGAAUUCAUCUCCGGGGGUAGAGCACUGUUUCGGCUAGGGGGCCAUCCCGGCUUACCAACCCGAUGCAAACUGCGAAUACCGGAGAAUGUUAUCACGGGAGACACACGGCGGGUGCUAACGUCCGUCGUGAAGAGGGAAACAACCCAGACCGCCAGCUAAGGUCCCAAAGUCAUGGUUAAGUGGGAAACGAUGUGGGAAGGCCCAGACAGCCAGGAUGUUGGCUUAGAAGCAGCCAUCAUUUAAAGAAAGCGUAAUAGCUCACUGGUCGAGUCGGCCUGCGCGGAAGAUGUAACGGGGCUAAACCAUGCACCGAAGCUGCGGCAGCGAACGUAUCACCCAAGACAACUUUACGGAGUUGACGAUUGACGGAGCGAAGCGACGUCAAAGCGUUCAUUAAAGUCGAGUUGGCUUAGGGAUACGUUCGUUGGGUAGGGGAGCGUUCUGUAAGCCUGUGAAGGUGUGUCGUGAGGCAUGCUGGAGGUAUCAGAAGUGCGAAUGCUGACAUAAGUAACGAUAAAGCGGGUGAAAAGCCCGCUCGCCGGAAGACCAAGGGUUCCUGUCCAACGUUAAUCGGGGCAGGGUGAGUCGACCCCUAAGGCGAGGCCGAAAGGCGUAGUCGAUGGGAAACGGGUUAAUAUUCCCGUACUUGGUGUUACUGCGAAGGGGGGACGGAGAAGGCUAUGUUGGCCGGGCGACGGUUGUCCCGGUUUAAGCGUGUAGGUGUGUGUUCCAGGUAAAUCCGGUUCACUUUAACACUGAGGCGUGACGACGAGGCACUACGGUGCUGAAGCAACAAAUGCCCUGCUUCCAGGAAAAGCCUCUAAGCAUCAGGUAACAUCAAAUCGUACCCCAAACCGACACAGGUGGUCAGGUAGAGAAUACCAAGGCGCUUGAGAGAACUCGGGUGAAGGAACUAGGCAAAAUGGUGCCGUAACUUCGGGAGAAGGCACGCUGACACGUAGGUGAAGUGAUUUACUCAUGGAGCUGAAGUCAGUCGAAGAUACCAGCUGGCUGCAACUGUUUAUUAAAAACACAGCACUGUGCAAACACGAAAGUGGACGUAUACGGUGUGACGCCUGCCCGGUGCCGGAAGGUUAAUUGAUGGGGUCAGCGCAAGCGAAGCUCCUGAUCGAAGCCCCGGUAAACGGCGGCCGUAACUAUAACGGUCCUAAGGUAGCGAAAUUCCUUGUCGGGUAAGUUCCGACCUGCACGAAUGGCGUAAUGAUGGCCAGGCUGUCUCCACCCGAGACUCAGUGAAAUUGAACUCGCUGUGAAGAUGCAGUGUACCCGCGGCAAGACGGAAAGACCCCGUGAACCUUUACUAUAGCUUGACACUGAACAUUGAGCCUUGAUGUGUAG
rnacentral:rRNA from 1 species